rfam:Devosia sp. LC5 contig20, whole genome shotgun sequence.
GCCCGGGUAGCUCAGUUGGUAGAGCAGCGGAUUGAAAAUCCGCGUGUCACUGGUUCGAUUCCGGUCCCGGGCA